AGAAUCAACGCUGGCGGCGUGCCUAACACAUGCAAGUCGAACGAGAAAGUGGAGCAAUCCAUGAGUAAAGUGGCGCACGGGUGAGUAACACGUGACUAACCUACCCUGGAGUGGGGGAUAACUGAGGGGAAACCUUAGCUAAUACCGCAUAAUACCUACGGGUCAAAGGAGCAAUUCGCUCUAGGAGGGGGUCGCGGCAGGAUUAGCUAGUUGGCGGGGUAAUGGCCCACCAAGGCAGUGAUCUGUA
rnacentral:rRNA from 1 species